AUGGACGAAGUCUGAUGGAGCCAUGCCGCGUGCAGGAUGAAUGCCCUAUGGGUUGUAAACUGCUUUUAUAUAGGAAGAACAUUUUCUACGUGUAGAGAACUGACGGUACUAUAGGAAUAAGGACCGGCUAACUCCGUGCCAGCAGCCGCGGUAAUACGGAGGGUCCAAGCGUUAUCCGGAUUUAUUGGGUUUAAAGGGUCCGUAGGCGGGAGAAUAAGUCAGUGGUGAAAGCCUACAGCUUAACUGUAGAACUGCCAUUGAAACUGUUUUUCUUGAAUUUAGAUGAAGUGGGCGGAAUAUAUCAUGUAGCGGUGAAAUGCAUAGAUAUGAUAUAGAACACCGAUUGCGAAGGCAGCUCACUAAACUAAUAUUGACGCUGAGGGACGAAAGCGUAGGGAGCGAACAGGAUUAGAUACCCUGGUAGUCCACGCCGUAAACGAUGAUUACUCGGUGCUAGCGAUAUACUGUUAGUGCCUAAGCGAAAGCGAUAAGUAAUCCACCUGGGGAGUACGGUCGCAAGAUUGAAACUCAAAGGAAUUGACGGGGGCCCGCACAAGCGGUGGAGCAUGUGGUUUAAUUCGAUGAUACGCGAGGAACCUUACCUGGGCUUAAAUGUAUUUUGACAGGCUGAGAAAUCAGUCCUUCUUCGGACAAUUUACAAGGUGCUGCAUGGUUGUCGUCAGCUCGUGCUGUGAGGUGUCGGGUUAAGUCCCAUAACGAGCGCAACCCCUAUCCUUAGUUGCCAGCGAGUAAUGUCGGGGACUCUAGGGAAACUGCCGGUGCAAACCGUGAGGAAGGUGGGGAUGACGUCAAAUCAUCACGGCCCUUACGUCCAGGGCUACACACGUGCUACAAUGGCGCAUACAAAGGGCAGCUACAUGGUGACAUGAUGCUAAUCUCUAAAGUGCGUCUCAGUUCGGAUCGAAGUCUGCAACUCGACUUCGUGAAGCUGGAAUCGCUAGUAAUCGCGUAUCAGCAAUGACGCGGUGAAUACGUUCCCGGGCCUUGUACACACCGCCCGUCAAGCCAUGGAAGUUGGGAGUGCCUGAAGUCGGUGACCGCAAGGAGCUGCCUAAGGUAAAACUAGUAACUAGGGCUAAGUCGUAACAAGGUAGCCGUACCGGAAGGUGCGGCUGGAACACCUCCUUUUU
rnacentral:rRNA from 1 species